AGAGUUUGAUCCUGGCUCAGGAUGAACGCUAGCGGCAAGCUUAAUACAUGCAAGUCGAGGGGCAGCAUGAAGUAGCAAUACUUUGAUGGCGACCGGCAAACGGGUGCGGAACACGUACACAACCUUCCUUUUAGUGGGGAAUAGCCCAGAGAAAUUUGGAUUAAUACCCCGUAACAUAACGAUGUGGCAUCACAUUGUUAUUAUAGCUUCGGCGCUAGAUGAUGGGUGUGCGUAUGAUUAGAUAGUUGGCGAGGUAACGGCUCACCAAGUCUACGAUCAUUAGCUGAUGUGAGAGCAUGAUCAGCCACACGGGCACUGAGACACGGGCCCGACUCCUACGGGAGGCAGCAGUAAGGAAUAUUGGUCAAUGGACGCAAGUCUGAACCAGCCAUGCCGCGUGAAGGAUGAAGGUCCUCUGGAUUGUAAACUUCUUUUAUAUGGGACGAAAAAAGGGUUUUCUAACUCAACUGACGGUACCAUAUGAAUAAGCACCGGCUAACUCCGUGCCAGCAGCCGCGGUAAUACGGAGGGUGCAAGCGUUAUCCGGAUUCACUGGGUUUAAAGGGUGCGUAGGCGGGCAGGUAAGUCAGUGGUGAAAUCCUGGAGCUCAACUCCAGAACUGCCAUUGAUACUAUCUGUCUUGAAUAUUGUGGAGGUAAGCGGAAUAUGUCAUGUAGCGGUGAAAUGCUUAGAUAUGACAUAGAACACCAAUUGCGAAGGCAGCUUGCUACGCGAUUAUUGACGCUGAGGCACGAAAGCGUGGGGAUCAAACAGGAUUAGAUACCCUGGUAGUCCACGCCCUAAACGAUGGAUACUCGACAUACGCGAUACACUGUGUGUGUCUGAGCGAAAGCAUUAAGUAUCCCACCUGGGAAGUACGUUCGCAAGAAUGAAACUCAAAGGAAUUGGCGGGGGUCCGCACAAGCGGAGGAGUAUGUGGUUUAAUUCGAUGAUACGCGAGGAACCUUACCUGGGCUAGAAUGCUGGGAGACCGUGGGUGAAAGCUCACUUUGUAGCAAUACACUGCCAGUAAGGUGCUGCAUGGCUGUCGUCAGCUCGUGCCGUGAGGUGUUGGGUUAAGUC
rnacentral:rRNA from 1 species